AGCCGCGAACGAGGGUGUCGGCCAUUUUGUGUCUGUUUCCUGUGGGACGCGGUGGGAGCCGUUGGGUCGCGGAAUUGAGCGCUCUUUUUCGCUUCGUUUCUCCUGCUUCUUCCUUUUUCCUUUCUGCUUUGUCGGUAGAGCGCCGUCAUGGGUCGCAAGAAGAAGAAGCAGCUGAAGCCGUGGUGCUGAUAUCCUUUGUGAGAUUUUGAUGAUGAGAAGAUCCUGAUACAGCACCAAAAAGCAAAGCAUUUCAAAUGCCACAUAUGUCAUAAGAAAUUGUAUACAGGACCUGGCUUAGCUAUUCAUUGCAUGCAGGUGCAUAAAGAGACAAUAGAUGCUGUACCAAAUGCAAUACCUGGGAGAACAGACAUUGAGUUGGAAAUAUAUGGCAUGGAAGGUAUUCCAGAAAAAGACAUGGAUGAAAGACGACGACUUCUUGAACAGAAAACGCAAGCAGAGAGUCAAAAAAAGAAGCAACAAGAUGAUUCUGAUGAAUAUGAUGAUGACGACUCUGCAGCUUCAACUUCGUUUCAGCCACAGCCUGUUCAACCUCAGCAAGGUUAUAUUCCCCCAAUGGCACAGCCUGGAUUGCCACCAGUUCCAGGAGCACCAGGAAUGCCUCCAGGCAUACCUCCAUUAAUGCCAGGAGUUCCCCCUCUGAUGCCAGGAAUGCCACCUGUUAUGCCAGGCAUGCCCCCUGGAUUGCAUCAUCAGAGAAAAUACACCCAGUCAUUUUGCGGUGAAAACAUAAUGAUGCCGAUGGGUGGAAUGAUGCCACCUGGACCAGGAAUACCACCUCUGAUGCCUGGUAUGCCACCAGGUAUGCCUCCCCCAGUUCCACGUCCUGGAAUUCCUCCAAUGACACAAGCACAGGCUGUUUCAGCACCAGGUAUUCUUAAUAGACCACCUGCACCAACAGCAACAGUCCCUGCGCCACAGCCUCCGGUUACAAAGCCUCUUUUCCCCAGUGCUGGACAGAUGGGGACACCUGUAACAAGCUCAAGUACAGCUUCAUCCAAUUCAGAAAGUCUGUCUGCAUCUUCUAAAGCUCUGUUUCCUAGCACAGCACAAGCUCAGGCAGCUGUCCAAGGACCUGUUGGUACAGAUUUCAAGCCCUUAAAUAGUACCCCUGCAACAACUACAGAACCCCCAAAGCCUACAUUCCCUGCUUACACACAGUCUACAGCUUCAACUACUAGUACGACAAAUAGUACUGCAGCUAAACCAGCGGCUUCAAUAACAAGUAAGCCAGCUACGCUUACAACAACCAGUGCAACCAGUAAGUUGAUCCAUCCAGAUGAGGAUAUAUCACUGGAAGAGAGAAGGGCACAGUUGCCUAAGUAUCAACGUAAUCUUCCUCGACCAGGGCAGGCUCCCAUCGGUAAUCCACCAGUUGGUCCAAUUGGAGGUAUGAUGCCGCCACAGCCAGGCAUCCCACAACAACAAGGAAUGAGACCCCCGAUGCCACCUCAUGGUCAGUAUGGUGGUCAUCAUCAAGGCAUGCCAGGUUACCUUCCUGGUGCUAUGCCGCCAUAUGGGCAAGGACCGCCAAUGGUACCCCCUUACCAAGGUGGGCCUCCUCGACCUCCGAUGGGAAUGAGACCUCCUGUAAUGUCGCAAGGUGGCCGUUACUGAUCUUACUUCAUCCAGUCUAAUAGCCCUGCCAUAGGACAGGCUGAGGCUGAGUCUCAGUGUUGCCCUGUUCAGUCUGAGCAGCAGAAUUUCAGCAUUUGCUACUUACUGGUAGAGAAGAAAAAUCCCACAGCCCUGCCAGUACAGGUUAGUUUAAUCUGUAAGUACCCGAUGUUCCUAUUUUUUUCAAACAUAUCCAUAUAACCCACACAAGGAAGAAAGCUGUGAAUGUGAGUAUAAUAGAUUCAUUGGAAAGUUUGAAACACAGUACCUGGGCCAAAGUAACUCUAGGUUUGCUAACCUCAGUUGUAAUAAAGGUGUAAUACUGUUCCUUUAUUAUCUGGUUGUGGCUGAAUCUAGAUAAAUUUGUUGUGCAUUAAAGGCAGAGACAGUGAAAGUUUUGAUUGGCUGUUACCUUAUUGGUAUAUAAUAUGGAAUUCAAGCCUUUGGAUCCAGGGUCUUAAGCCACUCAUGGUCGUUCUAAAAUUCACCUUUUAGCUUUUCACAGUAUGAAUCAACGUAAAAGUGUAAAAAGCAUUUCCUCACCUCUGAAUAGCGAAUAGAUAGUAUAAGCUAGAAAAUGUUUACACUACAUUUUUGUUUUUACAUGUUUUUAAUAACAUUUGUAAAAAAAAUCCUUUUUUUUUGUUCAGUUUUGUAACUAUGGCCUGUUGUACCACUGUGGGUUCAUUUUACUUUAAGAACAACAGAUUUUACUGUACUCAUGACAGCCGACUCUGCCGAUCAAGAAAUCUAGCUGGAUUCUUCAUGUAAUCCUUUUGAGGGACAGUGACAGUGUAACAGGUUGGAAAAGAUACUAACGUUUUAUUACUGUUUUUUGUUUGUUUUCCCCAACAUUAUUGUUUGAACCAUCCAUGAGAGAUUUCCUUUAACCUUUAAAUUUUUAUGUUGGCAUAAACUCGGAGCACAGAGGAACAAGGAGUAAAGCAUACAAUUUAAUAUCUACCACCCUGAGCUAUCCUAUUCUGUAGCAUUAAUGCUAGUAUGUGUGGCCUCCUCUUCACCUUAAGUGUAAUCUUGUCCAGUUUGACAUGAUAGAGCUGUGACCCUAGCUCAUUUUACACUGUUAAUAUGGAUGGUGGUUAGCCCUAGUGAGAGUAGCUCAUCUUUAUUUUAUAUGAAGUCUUUGUGUCCAUUAAAUUUAACCUGGAUUUAUCAACUGAUAAUAAAAUAUUUUACAAGAUCCAUUUGUGUUUUCUUAAAAAAUUGCCCAAGGGCUUAAGUUUUAUUGCCUUUCACAGUUGAUUCUAUGUAAGAAAUGACAUAGGUACACAGUGGAAAUGGUUUUCCUUAAAACUAUCUCUUAAAAAGCUGCCUUCUGGUGAGUACUGUUUUAUAUUUUUAUAUCAAUAUUUUAAAAUGAACUAAAACAGGACAUGUUGAUGAAAAAAAUGAGCAGUCUGAAUUUCUGCAUCUCCUUGGGUAUUACUUGAGUCAGGAAUAUUAAAUAAAGAUGGUGAUUUUAUUGCCUGACAUUUUCUUGCUAAUCCUGGGUCACUUUCUCUCCUUCACUGAACUGAUGGCAAAAAAUGUUUCUUUUAGGUGAGAUGGAAAUAUUUUUUAUUCCAACUAGCAUUUAAGAAAAUGUUUUAAAUGCUUAAGGUUUUCUUUUUAGUUGACAGCCAAAAAAUUUUUUCUCAAUGCUUCUUAUUCACACAUUACAUAGGUAUGAAAUUAAAAUAUCAGAACAUCUUUCUGUUCUUGUUACAGACUUUGUUGCAGUGUUUCAUGAGCUGUUAAGCUGGGGUUGGGAUGGAAAGAGGGUUUACUAAAGCUGAUCAUGCAAACCAGGUGCCUACAGGGUUCUCUUUGAAACAUCAUAGUUCCAGGUGUAUUGUUUCUUUAAUCAAUUAAGCCCUCCACAAACAGCUGGGUUAGAAAUACCUGAUUUCUCAAACUGGGUAUACCAGUGAGAAUUAGUCUCUGAUGUAUUUCUUAGUACUUCAUUACCUUCUUUUCACUUUAACGUGGAUUGUUCCCUCUGUAGUUUUUAGCUAGCCACUUCUUAGAUAAUGUCAAUACUUACAUACCCUAAAGGUAUUGUAUUUCCUGAACUAGUAAUGAACAAUCAAUUCUGAUACUUGUAGUAGCACCAAUAGUUUCUAAAAUAUGAAGUUAAUCUUGAGUAUGUGAUACAGUAAUGUAUUCUUCUAGAUAAGCGUUGAACAAAUUAUGGACCCUCAGUUAAUAUGAAGUAAAUUUCUAAGAAACUGUCCUUUCCUAGCAGGAUAACCAGACAAUGAAAAACUGGUAAGUAUUUAACUUCAAAUGCAUGUAAUAGUGGUGAAACUAAGUAGCCAACUUUCCAUAGUUUGAGAUAAUAUUUAAAAGUGAGCAAGAAAUCUUGACAUCUCCUUUGGAACUUAAUGUAUAUACGUCUAACAUUUUUACAAAUUUACACAGUGAUUAAAUGGAAAUGUACCUUACUCAUUUUUAAUUUUGUUUGAAACUUUAAUUACUAAUUUUAUAUUUCAAGCUUUUUUUAAGCUUAGAAUUGAGUGGCUGAUAAAAUCUUCAAGAAUUAUUUAAAUGUUCUUUUAAAAUCCAGUGUUAACUUCCAGUUUAAGUCUUCUGUUUUUCAGCUCCAGUUAAAACUGACAAUAGGCAGCUGGUCAAAAUGGGGGAAAAAUCUUUAUGCUAUUUCUGGAAUAUUGUAGAAGGCAGUGCAAAACAGUAAAAAGGUGUUAAACCAAGACUUGAUUUGAAUUAAAGCAGUCCUUUUUAAAUUAAUUGAGGAAAAGGUGAUGAAAUUUGGGAGUCUCUUCCCUCCCUGGGGUGUUGUAUUAAUGAGAAAAUAACAAAUGAAAGCUAAAAAAUGAAAACUUUCCUUGCUCUAACAAGACAGAUGAUUUAUUUCUGAGAAAUAGAUCUAUUUCUUGCCAUAUUGUAGCAUUUCAAUUCAGUUUCCAGGUUGCACUUGUGCUGUUAAGGAGUGAAGAGCAAGCAAGGGAUAUGAUUGUAUGUGAUGGUGAGGACCUGAACAGAGCACACAAAUGGCCAGACUAUGCUAAGCAAAAGUCUAGUAAUGUUUCUUGUAAGUAAAUGACUUCACUAAAAAAUAGAAAUAAAAUGCUAGCUUUUGUUUACCAAUGAAAAAACCUAGUGUUUAUUUCAAAAUAAAAAUUUUCUUACAUGAGUGAUAACUAAUGCAUCUCACACUUUGAUGGGUUUACUUGGUUAAGUAUCUGGAAGCUUGUGCAAAGGACAAUGAAGUAGAUAAGCACAUUUAUAUACUUCAUGUUUAAUUUUCGUCUGCUCUUGGGAUUUGAGAAGAGAUACUUUCUGAUCAGAAGUGUCUUUGUUUUCAGUUAUACAAUGGAACACUUUUUCUUCAAAGAUUAUUAAAACUCAGCCAGUUCUGGUGUGUGUGGGGGUGCCGCUCCUUCAUUUGUUGGCAAAUCUUGAAUGCCUGUUGUUUACAAAGAUGAAUAAAUAUUUUCUUUAUGA